rnacentral:rRNA from 1 species
GACGAACGCUGGCGGCGUGCUUAACACAUGCAAGUCGAACGGAAAGGCCCUGCUUUUGUGGGGUGCUCGAGUGGCGAACGGGUGAGUAACACGUGAGUAACCUGCCCUUGACUUUGGGAUAACUUCAGGAAACUGGGGCUAAUACCGGAUAGGAGCUCCUGCUGCAUGGUGGGGGUUGGAAAGUUUCGGCGGUUGGGGAUGGACUCGCGGCUUAUCAGCUUGUUGGUGGGGUAGUGGCUUACCAAGGCUUUGACGGGUAGCCGGCCUGAGAGGGUGACCGGCCACAUUGGGACUGAGAUACGGCCCAGACUCCUACGGGAGGCAGCAGUGGGGAAUAUUGCACAAUGGGCGGAAGCCUGAUGCAGCAACGCCGCGUGCGGGAUGACGGCCUUCGGGUUGUAAACCGCUUUCGCCUGUGACGAAGCGUGAGUGACGGUAAUGGGUAAAGAAGCACCGGCUAACUACGUGCCAGCAGCCGCGGUGAUACGUAGGGUGCGAGCGUUGUCCGGAUUUAUUGGGCGUAAAGGGCUCGUAGGUGGUUGAUCGCGUCGGAAGUGUAAUCUUGGGGCUUAACCCUGAGCGUGCUUUCGAUACGGGUUGACUUGAGGAACGUAGGGGAGAAUGGAAUUCCUGGUGGAGCGGUGGAAUGCGCAGAUAUCAGGAGGAACACCAGUGGCGAAGGCGGUUCUCUGGGCCUUUCCUGACGCUGAGGAGCGAAAGCGUGGGGGAGCGAACAGGCUUAGAUACCCUGGUAGUCCACGCUGUAAACGGUGGGUACUAGGUGUGGGGUCCAUUCCACGGGUUCCGUGCCGUAGCUAACGCUUUAAGUACCCCGCCUGGGGAGUACGGCCGCAAGGCUAAAACUCAAAGGAAUUGACGGGGCCCCGCACAAGCGGCGGAGCAUGCGGAUUAAUUCGAUGCAACGCGUAGAACCUUACCUGGGUUUGACAUGGAUCGGGAGUGCUCAGAGAUGGGUGUGCCUCUUUUGGGGUCGGUUCACAGGUGGUGCAUGGCUGUCGUCAGCUCGUGUCGUGAGAUGUUGGGUUAAGUCCCGCAACGAGCGCAACCCUUGUUCACUGUUGCCAGCACGUUAUGGUGGGGACUCAGUGGAGACCGCCGGGGUCAACUCGGAGGAAGGUGGGGAUGACGUCAAGUCAUCAUGCCCCUUAUGUCCAGGGCUUCACGCAUGCUACAAUGGCUGGUACAGAGAGUGGCGAGCCUGUGAGGGUGAGCGAAUCUCGGAAAGCCGGUCUCAGUUCGGAUUGGGGUCUGCAACUCGACCUCAUGAAGUCGGAGUCGCUAGUAAUCGCAGAUCAGCAACGCUGCGGUGAAUACGUUCCCGGGGCU